rnacentral:tRNA from 1 species
ACUUAAGUAGUUUAAAUAGUAAAAUUAUGAUUUGUGGUAUCAUAGAUAUAAAUAUUAUCUUAGGUU